rnacentral:tRNA from 1 species
UCUAAUAUGGCAGAAUAGUGCAGUGGAUUUAAGCUCCACAAAUAAAGUUUAAUACUUUUUUUAGAA